UACAGACCGCAGGUACCCAUCGCGGACGAAAUAUAUUCCGCCGUAUUAUAUAAUUGUGCGAGCGUAUUAUUUUAAAUGUGAAAAACGCUGGGAAACCGAAUGAACGGGGAAAUAAUCCAAAACAGUAUUGCCGUUCCAGAAUGCGAUUUACCGUUUAACGCUCUUAGCAAAUUCUAGAUCAAAAGUGAUUAUUUUUUACCAUCGGUUUAACAGCUGUCGGACAUUUUAUCCGUAAAUUGUGCUUCCAAAUGAAUUA